GACGAGGGGUCCAAGCGUUGUCCGGAUUUAUUGGGCGUAAAGAGCUCGUAGGCGGUUUCGUAAGUCGGAUGUGAAAACUCCAGGCUCAACUUGGAGACGCCAUUCGAUACUGCGAUGACUUGAGUCCGGUAGGGGAGUGUGGAAUUCCACGUGUAGCAGUGAAAUGCGUAGAGAUGUGGAGGAACACCGAUGGCGAAGGCAGCCCCCUGGGUUAACACUGACGCUCAGGCACGAAAGCGUGGGGAGCAAACAGG
rnacentral:rRNA from 1 species